rnacentral:rRNA from 1 species
AUUGAACGCUGGCGGCAGGCCUAACACAUGCAAGUCGAGCGGCAGCGGGAAAGUAGCUUGCUACUUUUGCCGGCGAGCGGCGGACGGGUGAGUAAUGCCUGGGAAAUUGCCCAGUCGAGGGGGAUAACAGUUGGAAACGACUGCUAAUACCGCAUACGCCCUACGGGGGAAAGCAGGGGACCUUCGGGCCUUGCGCGAUUGGAUAUGCCCAGGUGGGAUUAGCUAGUUGGUGAGGUAAUGGCUCACCAAGGCGACGAUCCCUGGCUGGUCUGAGAGGAGGAUCAGCCAAACUGGGACUGAGACACGGUCCAGACUCCUACGGGAGGCAGCAGUGGGGAAUAUUGCACAAUGGGGGAAACCCUGAUGCAGCCAUGCCGCGUGUGUGAAGAAGGCCUUCGGGUUGUAAAGCACUUUCAGCGAGGAGGAAAGGUUGAUGCCUAAUACGUAUCAACUGUGACGUUACUCGCAGAAGAAGCACCGGCUAACUCCGUGCCAGCCGCCGCCGUAAGAC